CAGUAAAAAAUUUAAAUAAUAAAACCAAAAAAAUUCCAACUACCAACAAAAGUAUUCUCCAACACAAGCACAAACAUUCCACUACAAGGACCGUUCGCCCUCGCGCACUAAACCACAAACAUGUCCGAGUUUCGUUUCUUUUCGUUGGCCGAUUUCCAAUACAUUAGCAAUGAUUCGUCUCUCUUCACCUUGCCGUUCGCGCUUUCAACGAAGAGCACACCUGCCUAUGACAAUGAGAUGUCCGAUGACUUGAAUGUACCGUAUAUGGUUUUUGAGAUUUUGGUUGCCAUUUUCGCCAUUGUCGGAAAUUUCAUGGUGAUUGUUGUGUUCCAACGCGACCGUAAACUACGACGACGCACCAAUUAUUAUAUUGUUUCAUUGGCUAUGGCGGAUUUUCUCGUUGGCUCGUUGGGUGUACCGUUUGCCAUAUUGGCUUCGAUUGGUUUGCCAAAAGACCUGUAUACUUGCCUCUUCACCGUCUCGCUGUUGGUUGUAUUGUGCACGAUUUCGAUAUUCUGCUUGGUGGCUGUGUCAGUGGAUCGUUAUUGGGCCAUACUCUAUCCGAUGGCAUAUUCGAGGAAUGUACGCACGCGCACUGCAAUUAUCAUCAUCUCGUUGUGUUGGGUCGCUGGCACAAUUGUGGGCUUCCUGCCGUUAUUUGGCUGGCACGUAAAGCCCGAAAAUGAAGCGGAUAUGACCUGCCAUUUCGUCAAAGUAAUGGACUACAACUAUUUGGUGUUCCUGUACUUUGCGACCAUAAUUACGCCGGCGCUGCUAAUGUUGGCCUUCUACACACAUAUCUAUCGCGUCAUUGUCAAGCAGGUGCGGCAAAUAGUCACCAUGAAUCCGAUGAGCGACAGCAGUCGACGCAAUUCGAAUACACAAGUUCAAGCGGGACGUGCUUGUCAUGGUGGCACGAUGUUGCGUGUUUUAGGUGCAUCACGCAAACGUGAUGUCAAGGCCACACAGAAUCUCUCCAUCAUCGUACUUUUCUUUAUGAUCUGCUGGUUUCCGCUGUACACCAUCAACUGCAUUAAGGCAUUCUGUCCGCAGUGUCAGGUGCCUGGGAAGCUGACACUAUUCUGCAUUAUACUCUCCCACCUGAACUCGGCAGGCAAUCCGGUGCUGUAUGCAUACCAUUUGAAAGACUUCCGUUUGGCGCUGAAGAAUUUGUUACUGAAAAUAAUGGGUAUUGAGGUGGAACAACCGGUGGAUCCAAUGCAUCGCUUCUCGGUGGCUAGUCAGCACCGCUUACAUUCCAUCGACGCCAGCAUGCGACACUCACUGCAGCCACGUAUUUAUAUAGAUUCACCUAUUUGGUUGCGUCAGCAACAGCAGACACUCAAGAGCUCGCAGUUGGGGCCUAAAUGUGGCGUGAUCACGCCUUGUUUGAACAACAUACACCAAACGGUAGCUGCUGUGGCUUCGGUGCCCACCGAUAUCGGACGUGAUAUGUGGAAUAUAAUGGAGGCUUCAAGCGGCGCCGAACUGGAAAAUGUCAAUUACGAAUUCCCGCUAGAUAGAAGCUCGAAUACGCCACCAACACCCGCAUCACAACAGCAGCGACGGCACUCCUCGCUCGAUCAUUGCAAUACCCCUGAUUACUCAUAUAACAAUUGCAAUUAUGACGUCAGUCCGGAUGAGUCCGAACUAGAUGAAGUUUUCCUACCAAAUAUCCGCAACAGCAGCGACAGUAAUAGCAUGACAAGCGUCAGGCCAAAUGGACAUUUACAUAAUACAGAGCAGCGCGAAAUGAUAGCAGGUGCAAUGCGCGAGAAACUACGCUCCGAUGACACAGACUACCAGAGCCAAGUGCUGAGCAAUCAGCGCGCACUCACCGAUUCCUCGUACAGUGACUACGAUGUACAAAAGCAAAGCGCUGGUCAUACGCCACCCGCAAAGGGUCGAUUGCUGACCACGUUGCGCCAAUAUCGGCUGCCCCAACAGGAGCUUAGCUCCUAUAAAGUAGCGCCAGGCAACACUGCCGACAAUAAUGGUAAAGCUGUUGAGCAUAGCGGUUUGUAUUCGCGUUCCGCAUCCAGUCAGUCGGGUCUCAGCAAUUCUGGCGUUUAUGUCAUUGAAAAUGACACGAGCCCUUUGUCACCGCGCCGUAAGCGUAAAUUUAAAAAAUCGCAGCGUCUAACCAAGAACUCCAACAAGACGGCAGUAGUGGUGAAAAGCACGAACAGUCACAGGCAAACAAUUUCUUGCACCAGGGAGUCAUCUGCCACCACGCCCUCCACAGAACUGGCGAAUGGCGCCGAAACGAGUGACGCGACGCAGACAAACAUACCACAUAACAGCGCCAGCGCGAGCAAUGGCAACAUAGCGCAGCAGCAAGCGCUGCAUGGCGAGGCUAGUCAGCUACCGUUGAACAGCAACAACAAUAACAGCAAUAAUAAUAACAAUAGAAAUAGUAACAAUGCUAAUCACAAAUUAAAUGGCCGUGCGGCAGAGCGCCAACAACAGCAACCACACACGAUACAUGGACAUCACGACAUGUUCGGGCCGUUGCGCGCUGUCGGUCACCUGAUUUUCCCGCCCCUUGCAAAACAUUCCAGCCUCUUUCAUCUAUUCCAGCCAAGCGUGUCCAGCGUGGGGGACGCAAUAACGACGUCACGCAAAACGACUGCAUGUGCAACGACAGCUGGCGCGACUACAACAAAAACUGCGGGUGCCGAAACCAUUAUGACAACUACAUCACCAGCACAUAGUAGAGCGUCGUCCACCACAGCCGCACACAGCGCGCAUGAAGCCACACAACCGAACAGUGCAUCGCGCGUCGCCUCGGUGGAUGAGUCGAUUUUGACAACAGUCACCGAUUUGACAGAGCCCACGCCAACGCCACAGUCUAAGGCGCAGCCACCGCCUCCAACAAUAGCUGCACGAUUUGUAGGUUAGGAAAUGAGAGGAGGAGGACUGAAUCGGGGAGGCCACUACUGCCUAGCCACUAGCGCUGCUUCGCACUAUUGUGAAUGACUAACAGCACUUCUGACAGCUUAGCGCUGCAUCAGUCGCUGCUUUUGCUGUCAAAACAAACCGAAAUUCACGUGUGGCACAAUUGUUAAAGUGCACGCCGAUUCAAAUAAAUCAGUUUUAUUCAAUAAAA